UACGUAGGGGGCAAGCGUUGUCCGGAAUGAUUGGGCGUAAAGCGUCCGCAGGUGGCUGUGUAAGUCUGCUGUUAAAGAGUGAGGCUCAACCUCAUAAAUGCAGUGGAAACUACAUGGCUAGAGUGCGUUCGGGGCAGAGGGAAUUCCUGGUGUAGCGGUGAAAUGCGUAGAGAUCAGGAAGAACACCGGUGGCGAAGGCGCUCUGCUAGGACGCAACUGACACUGAGGGACGAAAGCUAGGGGAGCGAAUGGG
rnacentral:rRNA from 1 species